GGGUGGCCCGAGGAGGGACGAGACAGGCCGGACAGAAUGCGCCACGUUUCAGAAUUAAUGGAAAAAGAGCUCACAUUGGUAUCGUGCUUUGCAGUUUGUGAAACACUUUUUUACCCAGUUUAUGUCACAAGACAGACAUUAUUCACAUUUUAGAGAAAAAGAUCCGGAGCUCCCAUGGGCCAGUAGACUUGCCUGAGAUCACACAGCACGUUCGUAGCAGGACGGAGACUAGAACUUGGGUCUCACGGUUGCUUUCAACUGCACUGUGCCGGAUCUCUUGGCAGGAACCCACCGGCCACACUGCCCUCUUCGGGGCCGUAGGACCCCUAACUCCACCCCCCUCCCUGGCAGCACCUCGAGCAGAAGGCCGAGUUCUGAAGACCCUCCUUGACGCUCCAUUUCUGGGUGCCAAGGAAGCUGGAGGAAUCCCUGACUCAACUUCCCCGAAGGAGGCCUCUGUGGCGGCCAGGGUCCCCCCCUGGAGCUGCUGGGAGGCGGCGCUGGCUGCCUGGAUGCUGACCCCAGCGCGGCGGGCAGAGCGGGGCCCACUCUUCUUAGCUUUUCUACUCACUGUUAGAGAGAGACCUAGCUGAGCGGCUGGCAGGAAGCGGGACAGGUCUAGGAGUCCCUUAGGGAAUAAACCAGCCCCGUUUCUAUCAGCCCGGCCAGCAUGCAGGUCUCCACAUCACCAUCUAGAGUAUCACGCACACAUCUACCAUAUAUACAGAUAUAUUCUAUAUACGAGCUAUAUAUAAAUAUAUAUAUACAUAUAUAUAUACACACAUACAUAUCUAGAAUGUGUAUCCGCGGCGCCCAGAAGCCUCGGUUUGGCCCACCUGUGA
rnacentral:lncRNA from 1 species